rfam:Ovis aries breed Texel chromosome 3, whole genome shotgun sequence.
UCUCUGGUGGUCCAGUGGUUAAGACUCUGUGUUCCCAAUGCAGGAGGCCAAGGUUCGAUCCCUGGUCAGGGAA